rnacentral:rRNA from 1 species
AUGACUACACCGGCCUCUACUUCGACUCCGAGCUGGGACCAAGCUGCUUUUCUACAAGCCAUGAACAACUUUGCUGCACAAGGGAACUCAGGUACGGAUUGGAUUUUCGAUUCUGGUGCUUCUCGUCAUAUGUCUGCAUCGAGUAAUUUGCUUUCUUCUUGCACACCUUCGCCUUUUCCCUCCAUUACUCUCGGUGAUGGAUCCUCUAUUCCUAUUUACUGUGUCGGUCAGGCUCAAAUCCAAUCCCCAACUAAGCCUUUGCUUCUUCGUGAUGUUCUUGUAGCUCCUGCUCUUAUUAAAAAUCUGAUUUCUGUUCGCCAAAUCACCACUGAUAAUCAUGUUUCUGUUGAGUUUGACCCCUUUGGUUUGUCUGUGAAGGACUACCCGACCAAGGCCGAGAUCGCUCGAUUCAAUAGCUCCGGUGAUUUAUAUUCUCUCCAUGGUGCUUCGGUCGCUGCUCCUCCAACAUCUAUGGUGGCCUCUGUUGAUCUGUGGCACCAACGUCUCGGCCAUCCCAAUAAAAAUGUGUUAUCCCCACUUCUUACUAAAUUUUCAAUACCUUGUAAUAGAGAUUCUCAUAAUUCUUCUAUGUGUCAGUUGUUGGGGAACUCGGUUCAACUAAAGUGA